rnacentral:rRNA from 1 species
UACGUAUGGUGCAAGCGUUAUCCGGAUUUACUGGGCGUAAAGGGAGCGCAGGCGGCGCGCCAAGUCUGAUGUGAAACCCCGGGGCUCAACCCCGGGCAUGCAUUGGAAACUGGCGGGCUGGAGUGGCGGAGAGGUAAGCGGAAUUCCUAGUGUAGCGGUGAAAUGCGUAGAUAUUAGGAGGAACACCAGUGGCGAAGGCGGCUUACUGGACGGCAACUGACGCUGAGGCUCGAAAGCGUGGGGAGCAAACAGG